rnacentral:rRNA from 1 species
CCUACGGGUGGCAGCAGUGGGGAAUAUUGCACAAUGGGGGAAACCCUGAUGCAGCGACGCCGCGUGAGUGAGGACGUAUUUCGGUAUGUAAAGCUCUAUCUGCAGGGAAGAAAAUGACGGUACCUGACUCAGAAGCCCCGGCUAACUACGUGCCAGCAGCCGCGGUAAGACGUAGGGGGCAAGCGUUAUCCGGAUUUACUGGGUGUAAAGGGAGCGUAGACGGCUGAUCAAGUCUGGAGUGAAAACCCAGGGCUCAACGUUGGGAUUGCUGUUGAUACUGUGCAGCUCGAGUGCAGGAGAGGUAGGCGGAAUUCGUAGUGUAGCGGUGAAAUGCGUAGAUAUUAGGAGGAACACCAGUGGCGAAGGCGGCUUACUGGACUGUAACUGACGUUGAGGCACGAGAGCGUGGGGAGCGAACAGGAUUAGAUACCCGAGUAGUC